rfam:Cryptococcus depauperatus CBS 7841 supercont1.6, whole genome shotgun sequence.
AACAGCGUAAUUCAGAGGAAGAAUGCGAGGCUCAUAAUGUGGUAAUUUACCUUUGAAACCUCGAAGUCACUGGAUCGAAACCAGUCGCUGUUA